GGACCUCUAGCCUGCAGGCCUUUGUGACGGACUUUGUUCAGAAUAUAUUUCUGGGUCAGGUUCAUUACACGGUGUCUACCAGUAUUAGUUCUGCCACUAAAGAUUUAAUCCGCUACUACAAAAAUCCUCAGAGUUUUGAUGCCUUGAGACAUGUUGUGGAUCAUAAAACACAGAAAGAACUCGGUGUAUCGAGACCUUUAUUGACAAGCACAGUGACAGUGGAUAAGAAUCUACAAGAGCUGCGGGGAAAUGAUGCAGGAUCUUCCAGACUAUGCAGACCAAUUCCUAAAUGAUCUGUAACACACUGAAAAAAUACAAAGAUACCUGUCACUCAGCAUACAGGGAAAUUGUCCAGUAUGACUCUGAUGACAGGCGGGUUAUCAGUGCUAUGUGGGCUAAAGAUGAAGACAUCAGUCGAUUCC